GCAGGCCAUUGACCAGAUCGAUCUGGCUCGGUUGCAGGUCGGGCAAGGUGUCCAAGGCGCCGCGCCAGCGUUCGAGGUCACCGUGGCCUUUU
rnacentral:tRNA from 1 species